GACAGAGGGGGCAAGCGUUGCUCGGAAUUACUGGGCGUAAAGCGUGUGCAGGCGGUCUGUUAAGACAGGUGUGAAAUCCCCGGGCUUAACCUGGGAAUUGCGCUUGUUACUGGCAGACUAGAGUGCGUCAGAGGGAGGUGGAAUUCCACGUGUAGCAGUGAAAUGCGUAGAGAUGUGGAGGAACACCGAUGGCGAAGGCAGCCUCCUGGGAUGACACUGACGCUCAUACACGAAAGCGUGGGGAGCAAACGGG
rnacentral:rRNA from 1 species